UACGUAGGGGGCAAGCGUUGUCCGGAAUCAUUGGGCGUAAAGAGCGUGUAGGCGGCCCGGUAAGUCCGCUGUGAAAGUCCAGGGUUCAACCCUGGGAUGCCGGUGGAUACUGUCGGGCUCGAGUCCGGAAGAGGAGUGUGGAAUUCCUGGUGUAGCGGUGAAAUGCGCAGAUAUCAGGAGGAACACCAAUGGCGAAGGCGGCCUUCUGGACGAUGACUGACGCUGAGACGCGAAAGCGUGGGGAGCAAACAGG
rnacentral:rRNA from 1 species